rnacentral:tRNA from 1 species
CGCCGCCUGCCACGAGGGAUACGCGAGCUGCUUCUUUCGCAGCGUCAACGCGGACGCUGCGGUUGAAAUCCGCGAGCGGCGGC